rnacentral:rRNA from 1 species
UACGUAGGGUGCGAGCGUUGUCCGGAAUUAUUGGGCGUAAAGGGCUCGUAGGCGGCCAACUAAGUCAGACGUGAAAUCCCUCGGCUUAACCGGGGAACUGCGUCUGAUACUGGAUGGCUUGAGGUUGGGAGAGGGAUGCGGAAUUCCAGGUGUAGCGGUGAAAUGCGUAGAUAUCUGGAGGAACACCGGUGGCGAAGGCGGCAUCCUGGACCGAUCUGACGCUGAGGAGCGAAAGCCAGGGGAGCAAAGCGGG